GGUCGGGUAGCUCAGUUGGUUAGAGCGUGGUGCUAAUAACAUUACUUGUUAACGCCAAGGUCGUGGGUUCAAGCCCCGCUCUGACCU